UCUGAUCCUUCAUCUGGGCACUCCAUAGGCCAUGGGGCAGCUAAAAAAGAAAAGGGGGGGGAAGCUUGGAAAAAUGUGUAGACUUUGUUGAUUUGAAGGUCAGUAGGAACAAAGAGAUAGUGAAGGGAAAAUUGGGAACUUUAAGCCCUACCAGUUCUUUGGUGUUAAUAUACAGCUUUGCACACAAUGGGUAUUGUGGCCAAAACAUAACUUGGGAUAGGAGUUUUCAGAUCCUCGUGAUUCUUCUUCUGCGUACCUGCCCACUUUGAAAGUUAGGCUUGACCAUGUGACUUACUUUGUCUCUGAAGCAUCAGUGGAAGUGACAGGACAUAUAUCCAUUCUAGAUGGGAGCUUUAACAGCCAGUGCGCAGGGAGUUCCUACCAUGGCUCAGUGGAAACGAAUCUGACUAGUAUCCAUGAGGAUGCAGGUUCAAUCCCUGGCCUUGCUCAGUGGGUCAGGGAUCCAGCAUUGCCGUGAGCUGUGGUGUAGGUCACAGAAGCAGCUCAGAUCCCGAGUGGCUAUGGCUGUGGUGUAGCCCAGCAGCUGCAGCUCAAUUCCACCCCUAGCCUGGGAACUUACAUAUGCCACACCUGUGGCCCUGGAAAGCAAAAAAUAAACAGUGUGCAAUGCACCAUGUCCCCCACCCACCCCUAGUCCAUGCUGAUCGUGGAAUCAAAUGCUGAAAUGGAAGUCGGCCUGGGUCCCCAAGGGACUGUGGGGUAGAUUCUGUUGUCCACCUGUGUUACAGGUGUAUUAUGAGCAAGAAAUAAACCUUUAUUACACUAAGAUAGGGAAGUUUGAUUGUGAUUUGUUACCACAGCAUGACUUAGGUUUUCUUUAUUGAUAAAUUGGUUCCAGGAAGUGGGAGCUGCUCUAGCCCAGUGGCUUAGUAGCUGAUGUAUGGACAGCCAGGACACUGUCAUUGGAGAUCAGCCGCAGAACACAGAAAAUUAUUUGAGUGAUUCUUAGUUUCCUCAAGGAUGGUAAGUACCAACCAAUACCACCCUAGAUGCAUGGGAGAGAAGGUAAUCCACUGCUUAGUACCUUCAGGUGUUAAGGGCUCAACCUCUUUGGGCAGGAAAGCCCUUUCUUAUGUAUCUUGUGAGACAGAUUGUAUUUUAUAAACUUGUUCUUAAACUUGAGCACACAUCAGAAUCCCCAGGCGGGAUUGUGACCACACGGAUUGCUGGGCCUCACCCAGAGUUUCUGAUACAGUUGUCUUAUAGUGGCCCCCAAAUUGGCAUUUCCAGGUUCCUGAGUGGUGCUGAUGCUGCUGGUCUGGAGACCACACUUUGAAAACACUGCUCAGGGAAGGAGUAUUAUGAGUGUACUUUGCCUUGUCUCAGCCACAAUACCUCCUGGAUGAGAAUUCUAAGUGUCUGUGCUCUUUAAUCUUUGUGGGUUUUUCUUUGUUUGCCAUUUCCAGUGACUAAGCCUUACAAGUUAGCCUGUUCCCUGUGGAACCUUUGCUCCCCAAUUUAAAAACUGAAUUCUAUAAACCUGUGAUGGUCUAAUGGCAACUUUUUGUUUCUUCAGCUUGUGUCAUAAUAUCAAGUGUUUACAAACCCUGUAUUCAUCCAGAAUUGGGUUUUAGAAUUUAGUCAGAGGACUUGACUUGAAUCCCAGCAGUCUUGUAAGAAAAAUGACCCACACAUUAUGCUUAGAAAGAAAUCUUUAUUUAUGCUAAUGCCACUGAGUGUCUCUCUGUGUUGGCUCACUCCCUCAUGAAUGCUCAUUGAAAAACCGUCGUCUCCUCCCAAAACCUCAGCCAGGCAUGGAGGAGCUAGUGUGCUGCGUUGCCCUCUGUCAGCUGCUGCCUCUGAAUUCCAUCUCUGUUCUGAUUAUGCCACUGGGCAGAGACAUACAACGGAUUCCCUUUACAGAGCCCGGACAGUGGCCUAGACAUUCACACCAAGGUCCGAGAGACAGAGGCAUCUGUGAGGGACGACCACAAGGGCCCAUGGUACCAGGAACCUACUUGAGGGAUCUCCCUGCCUAAACGCACACAGUGCCUGUUCAUAGCUCUGGGGUCAUAGACUGAGGAUGAGUAAGAAGAGGGAGGAGAAAUCAGUGUUUCAUUGAGAAACUGGGGGCAACUUGUUUAUAUCCUCCCCAUCUAUAAAUUAAUCUCUGAGAGACAAGACUCACUCUCAGAAAGUACACUUGGUGACAAUGACUGAUGGCAGGCCUUGAAUGACCAAAGAAUAUUAAUGAAGUUCCUCCAUAUGCCUCACUCCAUCAUUGUCAGAAUAUAUGACCAAAAGUAUGAUCAAAUAGCCAGAAGCUUGGUGUCUAUCUUAAAAACCCUGCUAUAUGUUCUGGUCUGUGUGAUAUUUAGAAAGGUUGGACAGAGUACUUCUAUUUAUCUUCAUGUGCCAGAGUGUUGGGACCCCAGCUCAGGAGGCCAGUAAGCCUACAAUUUGCUAGAGCACAGCAGACUUGGAUUCAUGAAUGUUUGGUCAGAUUCUUAUACGUGCUUCUAAUCCACCCUGAAAUUAGAAGCUAAGCACAGUCACUACCCACCAAUGGCUUACAAAGAUUACUUUUCAGUGAUCUGUACAUACGCUGACCUUAGCAUGUAGAUGUCAACAUGAGAAUUACUAACUGCUAUAAACAUUCCACCCCAUUUGGGUAAGGAGAUCCCAUGUUGUCUGAAGUCUAAGGAAAUAUAGAAAGGUGUCACUCUUUGCUUCUCCACCUCUGCUUAUUUGAUGCCUAAUAAAGGAUGACUUUUUUACUGCUUGUGUUCAUUCUCUGGCUUCCACCAAUAUAGUAAAUUCAUCUAAAGUUGACAACCAAUAAAAGAUAUUCACCUCUGGGCAAUCAGUGCAAAUAAAGAAGCGAUCUACAGGAAUCCAUUUUAUUUGGAGGUGAAAGUUGCUUCUACUAAUUCUUCAAGGAAUCCAUCAUUGUAAUUUCUAAGUGGAUGAAUUAGUUAUCUAUGGCUGUGAAAAUGCUUUGUAACACACAGCCCUUAGAGCAUCAGUGGCCUAAACGAUAAUCAGUUAGUUCCUGCUCACAUGUCCAAGCAGUCACUGAGGUGGUUCUGCCGACCUUGACCCCCUGCUGUCAGAUGAUCAAGGCUGGCUUUGGCAGGACAACUGAAACAAUUAAGGUCUGUUCUACAUGCCUCUGAACUUCCAGGUGGAUUGCCCAAGCAUGGUCUAAAGGCUGCAACAAAGAUUCAAGAAUAAGUAGACCAGCCUUCUUGAAGCUUGAAGCUUAGGGUCAGAAUUGACAUGUCAUCAUUUCCAUGGCAUUCUUUCAGCCCAAGAAAGUCACAACACCAGCCCAGAUUCAAGGAGAUUGAAAAACAAUUCCUGCCUCUUUUGUGAGAAGAAGCAAAAAGCCACGCGUGUUUGGCUUUGGAGCCAUAAAAUGCAAUAAAUCUUUCAAGGCGAGAUCCUCCCCCGGUAAUAUUUGUGGACAGGAUUUGGGGGUUGCCUAAGAGACAUACUUCUGUUACCCUCCUUAAAUACCUGAGGUAAAGGGGUGAGAUAGUAAAUCAGGUCUUUUUUUGUGGCUGAUAUUUGCAGAAACUUUUCAUGGUGGAGGCCGUAUGUCAGUGUUCAGCAUAUCAUCAUCACUACCCAGAUUGUUGCCACAGGGGAGCAGUAACUAGAGUUAUCUGCCACUUAGCAUCCAGCGACUGUGAACUUCAGCAGGGGACAGAUAAUUGUAGCAUGUUGGUGUGGGAGGGGCAGCCCAAAAGCAGCUGGAAGGAAAGAGUGUUGUCAGAAAAGAGUCUUAGGAGCUAGGGGUAAAUAUUUUUGAAAAGAAUCAGGGUGAAACAAUUAAGGGAGCAACUAGAUUGUUCUUACUGAGGAGCGAGCAUCAGAAAGCAGGAGAGGAUUUGAUCUCCACAGCCUUUGAUUUCCUCCUGGCAGAAUCUGAGAGGGGAUUGGCACCGGUCACAUUGGAGUUCCCUUCAGCGCUUGGCUGGCAAGCGUUGUUCUCACCCCAGGCCACGACUUCUUCCUAUGGCUAAUGGGGAAAGGCGCCAUAAUCAUUUCUGAAUUCUUGUCCAUGAAAUUGCUCUGAAGCAGCCUUACCAAGUAAAUCUGGCCCAGUCUCUGAGCACUCACAGGCAUCCCCCAUACUCUUUGAUAGCUGACCAUAGCCUGACAUGUCACAUGGAGCAUGGACACGGGUUGUGCCACCCAGGGGGUGAAUAGUGAGGUUGGGGAUGAGCCAGUUGGCAGAGCAGAGCUUUACCAGUUGCUAAUGAAGUGAAAGGAAUUCCUUAUUGCUUAACUGGAUUUUAACCCUUCUGGCUUGCUCUGGAUAUAAGCGGUCUUCUGAGUCUUCUCAAAAUACUGAGGCAUUCAUUCCUGGUGCCACUGAGAAGGUGAAGCAGACUGCUGCCAUCACCAGUCAAGCAUGAGACACAUCCUAAUAAGAAGAACAAGAAUAGGAACCAUGUUAACUAUCAAACACUGUGAGAAGUACUGGAGAUGAUGCUGUUAACCUGCCUGAGGCUUGACCCUCCUGAUGCUCCCAGAGGAAGGCUGAACCCUUGCUGGCCCAUGGCUUCAGACCAGAUGCUGCAGACAGACACGGAAGCUGUGCUGGAGCAAAAUGGACAUCUUCUUACAUCUGUAUCAGGGAGGGAGCCCAAGCAAGGCUGGGUGUCCUCAGGUACCAGAGAGAUUUUCUCUGUGUGUGGGUUCUAGGAUCACCAGCACUUUUAGUUUCCUUCUAGGGACUCCACUUUCCCUACAACCAAAAUGGUGAGCAGAACCAGUCUCAUGUGCUGAGUGAGGGGAGGGUGUCUGGCACAGGGUGUGGUUUAGAACCUGCACAGUGAGACAGGGUGUUCACAGCAAGUCUCAAGAUAGUGACAUAUCUGAAGGGCAGCUGUGCAAAAAGGGAAGAGAGAAGCUCUGUGCUGCUCCAGGAGGAAGGAGAUCUGAGUGCCAAGCCAGAAAUCUGACAACCAGCAUGCAGCACGUUUAAAUGACACACCCCAGAGAGAGGGAACAAGGAAAAGUUCAUGCAGCUAAAUCAACAAAGUAGAUGUUUGUUCAAUUAAAUGAAACUUGAAUGAGCACUGUUAGUCCCUCUAUGAGGGGCCUUGUUAAGGAGUGUGAGAGCUUGUGGAGGCAUCCUGAGGUUCCCAGCAAGGCCAAGACUGAUCCCUCCACUUGGUCUGAGCCCACCAAGCUUACUUGCUCUGUGCAACCUGGCCUAUCAGCGCCCUCUAGUGGACACCCAAGCAUAAGCCACUAAAAAACCCCUCAUAAUGUUUUUUAGACCAGUCAGGGGUUGUAAAAUCAGCGCAAUAAUAAGCACUUUUAAAAUCAGAUAAAUCAGGAGUUCCCUUGGUGGCUCAGCGGAAACAAACCCGGCUAGUAUGCUUAAGGACGUGAGUUCAAUCCAUGGCCCUACUCAGUGGGUUAAAGAUCCAGUGUUGCCAUGAACUGUGGUGUAGGUUGGCAGCUGUAGCUCUGAUUUGAUCCCUA
rnacentral:lncRNA from 1 species